rnacentral:rRNA from 1 species
UGCCAGCAGCCGCGGUAAUACGUAUGGAGCGAGCGUUGUCCGGAAUUAUUGGGCGUAAAGGGUACGCAGGCGGUUUAAUAAGUCGAAUGUUAAAGAUCGGGGCUCAACCCCGUAAAGCAUUGGGAACUGAUAAACUUGAGUAGUGGAGAGGAAAGUGGAAUUCCUAGUGUAGUGGUGAAAUACGUAGAUAUUAGSAGGAAUACCAGUAGCGAAGGCGACUUUCUGGACACAAAAANACGCUGAGGUACGAAAGCGUGGGGAGCAAACAGGAUUAGAUACCCUGGUAGUCC